rnacentral:misc_RNA from 1 species
AAGUCGUAACAAGGUUUCCGUAGGUGAACCUGCGGAAGGAUCAUUAAUGAAUUUUGUUGGGUCUUCCCCAUGGCUUUCUGGUCAUGGAGUUGGCCUGAUGAUCCAUAUCUUAUGUGCACCUAUACUUAUGCUGGUGUGAGUCCCUUGCCUGGGCUCCUUAAUCAGGAGCACUGGGUGGGCAGCCAGUGGUGGGGGGGAGUGGGGCAGCGUCCUUUGGUGGACCCUAAGAUUUUCCCCUUCUCACUGUAUGGCCUAUUGACCUAUCAAACCGUGACACUAUUUCGAACAACUUAUUUUUUCCAGGUCGUGAGGCUUGGUUAAAUUUUUAUACAACUUUUGGCAACGGAUCUCUAGGCUCU